rnacentral:lncRNA from 1 species
CCUAACAUGAGCAAAGUCGAAGGCCCGGUUACAUUUAGACCGGAUGGGGGGAGAGGCCCUGCAAUGCCCAUAUGUGCCCCCACAGCCAUAUUAGGAACAGGAGGAGAACCUCGUCCUAACAUGAGCAAAGUCGAAGACCCGGUUACAUUUAGACCGGAUGGGGGGAGAGGCCCUGCAACGUCCAUAUGUGCCCCCACAGCCAUGUUAGGAACAGGUGGAGAACCUCAUCCUAACAUGAGCAAAGUCAAAGGUCCGGUUACAUUUAGAUCGGAUGGGGCGAGAGGCCCUGCAACGUCCAUAUAUGCCCCCACAGCCAUGUUAGGAAUAGAAGGAGAACCUCGUCCUAACAUGAGCAAAGUCGAAGGCCCGGUUACACUUAGACCGGAUGGAGGGAGAGGCCCUGCAACGCCCAUAUGUGCCCCCACAGCCAUAUUAGGAACAGGAGGAGAACCUCAUCCGAACAUGAGCAAAGUCGAGGGCCCGGUUACAUUUAGACCGGAUGGAGGGAGAGGCCCUACAACGCCCAUCUGUGCCCCCACAGCCAUGUUAAGGAUAGGAGGAGAACCUCGCCCUAACUUGAGCAAAGU